AGGGAAUCUUCCACAAUGGACGAAAGUCUGAUGGAGCAACGCCGCGUGAGUGAUGAAGGUUUUCGGAUCGUAAAACUCUGUUGUAAGGGAAGAACCAGUAUGUCAGGCAAUGGACGUACCUUGACGGUACCCAAAGAAUAAGCACCGGCUAACUUCGUGCCAGCAGCCGCGGUAAUACGAAGGGUGCAAGCGUUACUCGGAAUUACUGGGCGUAAAGCGUGCGUAGGUGGUGGUUUAAGUCCGUUGUGAAAGCCCUGGGCUCAACCUGGGAACUGCAGUGGAUACUGGAUCACUAGAGUGUGGCAGAGGGUAGUGGAAUUCCCGGUGUAGCAGUGAAAUGCGUAGAGAUCGGGAGGAACAUCAGUGGCGAAGGCGACUGCCUGGGCCAACACUGACACUGAGGCACGAAAGCGUGGGGAGCAAACA
rnacentral:rRNA from 1 species